GACGAACCGUGCGAACGUUGUUCGGAAUCACUGGGCUUAAAGGGCGCGUAGGCGGGCGGUCAAGUCAGAGGUGAAAUCCCACGGCUCAACCGUGGAAGUGCCCCUGAUACUGAUCGCCUCGAGGGAGGUAGGGGCGUGCGGAACUUCCGGUGGAGCGGUGAAAUGCGUAGAUAUCGGAAGGAACACCGAUGGCGAAAGCAGCGCGCUGGACCGUUACUGACGCUGAGGCGCGAAAGCCAGGGGAGCAAACGGG
rnacentral:rRNA from 1 species